rnacentral:tRNA from 1 species
UCCUCGGUGGCGCAAUUGGCUAGCGCGUCUGACUGUUACUACCUAAUUAGUAGUCAUCAGGAGGUUGAAAGUUCGAGCCUUUCCCGGGGAG